AGGAUCAUUACCGUAUGAUUAGGGGGUUGGAUGCUGGCCCGCGAGGCACGUGCGCGCCCCCGUUCUAAAUCCCACAUACACACCCGUGCACCUAUGGAGAGCGCCUCCCGUUUGGAGCCGUCCGGCUUGUCGAAGCCGGACCGAGGUGCUCCCUCUUUUUGUUACACCACAGCCUGUCUUUAUAACGCAUGUCGCGAAGCUCUACGGAGUUUAUUGGUACAACUUUCAACAACGGAUCUCUUGGCUUUCGCAUCGAUGAGGGACGCCGCGAAAGUGCGAAACGUAAUGUGAAUUGCAGAAUUCAGUGAAUCAUCGAAUCUUUGAACGCAUCUUGCGCUCCUUGGUAUUCCGAGGAGCAUGCCUGUUUGAGUGUCGUGAAAUAACCUCGACCUUACCUUUUGUUUCCUCAAAGGGAGGAGGGGGGGGGGUCGGAUUUGGACGCUUGCGGCGGGACUCUCCCGCCGCUCGUCUCUAAACGCAUCAGCUGGCCUUUUGGAGUCGGUCCGACGACGGUGUGAUAACGAAUGCUUUGUGGCGCCGUCAGGGCCGACCCCGAUCCGGGUUGCUUACAGCCGUCCUUCGGGACAAUGCCUUUCAUGUCGUCUGACCUCAAAUCAGGUAGGACUACCCGCUGAACUUAAGCAUAUCAAUAAGCGGAGGAAAAGAAACUAACCAGGAUUCCCCUAGUAACGGCGAGUGAAGCGGGAAGAGCUCAAA
rnacentral:rRNA from 1 species